GACCGCACUAAGUGAUUCGGGAAGUAAGGGGAAAAAUAUGACUGAAGGAGUAGUAAAUAAACAACCCUUUAAAUCAAGGUCUAAAUUCUGCUUCUGGAGGACAAACUCUACCAAUUAAAGAUAACUGUGACAGACCAAAAGGGACAGCCACAGAGCAAUGGAGCAGUAUUCAGUGUAAAAGAAAGGCUAUCCUACUAAGUAGCAGUGAGCUAGACAAGAUGAAAAGGAAUGCAGUAUUGUGUCCACCUUGUCUACUCCUAGCUGCCAAGUAUCUAAACAUGUUUCUGAACAAUAGUCUUUGAGCUAUUGUGCCUUAACAAAAUGUUGGUCGCAACUGUAUCAAAUAGCCGCCUUUGCAAACGAAACUUUUAAAAAAAUUGCUUUUCAUAUUUUAUUCUUAUAUUUUCGGGAUGGAACAA
rnacentral:sRNA from 1 species